CCGAAAGUUUGGUCAGUCCACAUCGGUGAAGAUACAUCUCCUUGAAGACCACUUUUUGGAGCAGAUACAGCUCUGGGGGAUGUUUUCUGGAUCUUUCAAUGAGCAAGGUGGUGAGAGUACUCACUCCCUUUUUAAGAAUCACGAACACAUGACAAACCAUGUUCGUAAUGACGAAGACCGAGUUGUGAAAAAGUGCGAGCUAGCAACACGGAAAUACCUGUUGAAAGUGAAAUCCAAGCUGUGUGACUGAAAUGGGUCAAUCAUGA